AAGCAUGCUGAAUAUCAGCCACUAUGUUUAACUACUUCCUAAACUCUAGGACUCCAUGAUUGACUAACUAGAAAUAUAAAAAUAGCUAACAUAAUCCACUACUGCAGAAUCAUGGUAGAUCAUGUAGUUAGUGUUUGAAACAGUCUUCUAACAGCCAGGCUAGUGGCUACGGGAUACUCUAAAAAAGAAGGGAUGGCUAUAAUGAGACUUUUCCCCUUGUAGUCAAGAUGGUAAUUAUCAAGACAAUGUUAUCUGUUGCUGCUGUUACGAUAUGACACAUCCAUCAAAUGUAUGUGUAUAAUGUAUUUUUGCAAGGUGAUCUAUUUGAUGAGAUUUAUAUGGAGUUUCCACCGAGAUUUAAGAGCCAAAGGGAGUCACAUACAGUCUGUAGGCUCAUCAAAUUCUUAUAUAGGUUUAGACAAGAUCCAAGAAAGUGGAAUAAGAAGCUUACUGAAGCAUUAUGUACAUUUGGAUGUCAAUAUGAUCACUCUUUAUUUGUCAAGAAACUAACAGAAGGUACUAUUAUUGUGCUUAUGUAUGUAGAUGAUAUUCUAGUAAAUAGUACUAGCUUACAAUCGAUAGAAGAAACAAAGACCGCUUUGGAACAAACCUUCAAGAUGAAGGACUUAGGAGAACUAAAGUAUUUUCGGGGGAUAGAAUUUUCCAAGUCUGACAAAGAAAUUCUAAUGCAUCAAAGAAAAUAUGCAUUAGAACGCAUCUCAGAACUUGGAGUUGAAGCAGCUAAUCCAGCUAUAACACCUUUGAAGAUGAACGCAAUAAUAAUUAUCUGAAGACUUAAGAAAGUGCAAAAAAUAAUUUGUUUCCUGACUCAGGAGCUUACAACAACAACAACAACAACAACCCAGUAUAACCCCACUUAGUGGGGUCUGGGGAAGAUAGGUGUACGCAGACCUUACCCCUACCCUGGGGUAGAGAGGCUGUAUCCAAAUAGACCUCCGGCAUUCUUCCCUCCAAGAACUUUCCACCUUGCUCUUGGGAAGACUCGAACUCACAACCUCUCGGUUGGAAGUGAAGUUGCUUACCAUCAGAGCAACCCCUCUUGUCUGUUUCAUUGAGUUAGUAAACAGAAAAUAUUCUUUGUUUCUCUUCUUCUCUCAAUUAUGUUGUGUUAUCUUGGGUUCUUCAUCUCAACUCUGGUAAUUUAGAAAUUCUCGCAUGUAGCUCUUCAGCACCUUCAUCCAAAACCCAAUAAAUUGGAAUUCUAUCAAUUCUCAUUGUUGUCAAUCAUGGAAUAAUAGCAUAAUUCUCAUAGUUGAUCUAAUUCACUCCAACUUCACAAACUCACUAUAAAAUUGCUGAAAAGCACUAAUUAUUUAACUGGACAAGCUCAGGUCACUACAACAAAUUUUAUAAAUAUCUCCGUAAGUCACUUAAAUGACACAAAUUUGUUUACCGACAAUAUUUUACUUUUAUAUUUAAUAUCGGAAAUUUUAAUGUCAUUAAUAUUGCGAUAUUUAAAUGAAUGUCGGCAACUAACUAGCGACGACAUUUAUUUACUACAUUUUCAAAUGUCAAUAAUUUGAGCUCUUAACUUAUUUUGUUUGUGACAUGUAUAUAAAUGUCACCAAAUUAUUCAUAAUUUUCACAUACGAUUUGAACAUUAAUAUUACUAUCAAUAUUAAGUGUUCCAUGCUUUCUCUAAGUCAAGAUCCUUCAGAGUAGUAAUAGAUCUCACAACCUUCAAAAAACUGAUGUAUCCCAGAUCUGAAAUCAAAAAAGAAAAUUAUUACUAAACAGAUUAAGGAAAAACAACAUUAAUGUCAAUUUACCUGAUAAGAAUUCACAGUCACCAUGCUUAUAAACUGUUUCGCAGCAAAUUCACUGAUAGAGAGAAGAUUCAAAUAAACAACGAAAAAGAUACAAAAAGUUCAAGGCCUUUAGUUAUCACAAUAGCACAAGUCCCAUUUCACUUGAAAAGAAAAAAAUAAACUUACAGAGAACGAGUUUGAUUAGAUGAAUCUGAUCGGAAAUUGCGAGACUGACAGCGGCUAGUUGUGAUGACGCAAAGGGUGUCUUUCAAUUAUUUCGAGGCUGUAAAAAUCUCGUUUUUAUUCUCCUCGACUUACAUAUAUAGUCCAG
rnacentral:lncRNA from 1 species